rnacentral:rRNA from 1 species
GACAGAGGUCCCGAGCGUUAGGCGGAAUCACUGGGCUUAAAGCGUGUGUAGGCGGAUGCCUAAGUACCUUGUGAAAUCCCACGGCUCACCCGUGGAACUGCUCGGUAUACUGGGUGUCUUGAGCCACUUAGGGGCUACCGGAACAAAUGGUGGAGCGGUGAAAUGCGUAGAUAUUGGGAAGAACACCGGUGGCGAAGGCGGCCAACUGGACCACAACUGACGCUGAGGCGCGAAAGCGUGGGGAGCAAACAGG